UACGUAGGGUGCAAGCGUUGUCCGGAAUUAUUGGGCGUAAAGAGCUCGUAGGCGGUUUGUCGCGUCUGCUGUGAAAACUGGGGGCUCAACCCCCAGCCUGCAGUGGGUACGGGCAGACUAGAGUGCGGUAGGGGAGAUUGGAAUUCCUGGUGUAGCGGUGAAAUGCGCAGAUAUCAGGAGGAACACCGGUGGCGAAGGCGGAUCUCUGGGCCGAUACUGACGCUGAGGAGCGAAAGCGUGGGGAGCGAACAGG
rnacentral:rRNA from 1 species